AAUGUGGUCUAUCACUUAAACAAUGUAUUUCUGAGCAGAAGUUUGCUGGUGUUUGAAUGAUGUUUCUAUUGCUAUUUAAGCUUUCAGGAAGAUGAAAUAUUUUACCCUGAGUGAUGGAAACUGAGAAGCUGUUAGAGUGAAAAGAUGAGAGUAUGGAAAACAUACACUGUGAAAUUCCAUGUUUGACCUGACUGUUGAAAUAGAGCUUGAGUUUUGAAAACAAACACACAUAAAAACAACAGAAACUCCUACAAAGGAGUUUUGAUGUGUUAUAAAUGCCUAUAUCACUAAUGCAAAGGUAUUUUCUCAUUUUUUAAAUGUUUGCAGCAAGUUUUUGUAGUUCCUCUCUGAGCUGGCCAUCGUGCAAAGUAUGACACUAAAGGAAAGCUUGUAGAGAACAGUGUGAUGGAGGAAAUAAUGACUUGUGAGUCUAGAAACCUACCACAGGAGCUAGAGCUUCAUGAUUUCUAUCAAAAGGUCAUCUUACUAGGUGUUAGGCAGACUGGUUUCUUUCCUCCCUAAAGUAACUGAAGAUUGGAACUCUCCUUUGAGGAGCACAGGCAGAUUAUGUAUUAUACAUUCAAGCUCAUGGGUGACCUUUGGAGAUGCAUAAAUGAAAAAAGCUGCUGUUUGAACUGCACUUUCCAGCCCCUUGUGAUUCGAAAUUGGGAUGCCAUUUAAUACAUGCUUAUUUAGUGGCAGUGAUUUGUUUAGGCCCUUUCUAAACAUUGAAGAGAGAAUCUUUCCUAGAGGAUUUUACAAUCUGUGAGAAGAAAAAGAAGGGAAGCAGAGGUUAAGGACCAGGGAAAAACAAUGGAGACAGCCAUAUAUGAUUUUCUUUCCUUCUUCAAAACAGCAGUGGGCUUGUGAACAAAUUACUGAAUGUGUGCAUGUUAGUAUGUGCAUAUGAUAACUUGAAAUGCUUCCUGCCGUGUCGUAUUCUAGUUCUGAAAGAUUCUGAUCUUUGCAAAGUUUUGCAAGGCUUUUCUCUCUAUAUAUGCAUGUAACCAUUUUGUAAAUAUUGUGAUAGGAAAUGUCAGUAGUGCUCUACAUGCCCUGCUUGUUAAAUCAUGAAGGUGUUUGUGAGAGCUAAGCUGGUGGGCACUGUGUGGCUGAGGAUACCAGUGCCAUAUGGC
rnacentral:lncRNA from 1 species